rnacentral:lncRNA from 1 species
CAGAUUUGUAAAAAAUAAAACCUUUUUUUGGUGUAGAUAACAUUUACCAGACAGAAUGAAGAAAUGAACGGCUAAUUCAAUUGUUUUGUUUUCAUUUUAGUAACAUCUUUCAUGGUAAAUACAUGGAUCUUAUUAACGAAAUAAAACAUUUAAAUACUUAACUUGCUCUAAAAUAACUUGACAGAGUCACACUCGUAAAACAUGUGUAUAAUAGCUUCCCCUUCUUUAUCACAGAAAAUGCAUCAUUAUGUUCUCUAAGUCCAUGAAUUUAGACAAGUUAUUGCAAGGGUAUAUUUUGAACAAGAUUUUAAAGGGAGCAACCAAGCUUUCUUCCAUUCAAUUUCAGUAGAUCUAUGAAUUCCAGAAGAAUUUCCCUCUAUGAGGGAUCUUGUUCAUGGAGUUCAAGUUAUCUUAAGAAUGUAUUACAUUUCUUAUCCAGCAGGGGGCAACCUUUUAACAUUGUGCAUCUAUCAUGACAUGUUCUCCAAAGCAAAAAAUGCGAUUUAAUUAAGUCCUGAAGGUAUUGGUUUGAAUAUAGAAUUACAUCAUUACUGUAUUUUUACAACUAUCGUAGGUUUAUACAAUUGUAACCCCUUAUUUUAGGUACUUACAUUUUUUAAACUCAAUUCAUAUGUAGUGAUUUGUAUUUAUUUUUUUACUUUUUGUUUCUUCAGAUAAAAUAUAUGCGUAGUGAUGUCCUAUGUAUUUUUUGUGGUAUUAUAAUAUAUACAAUUGAUUUAGUGAAGGCGGAGGCACUUGGUCAUGGCUAGAAGGGACCCAGCGUUUGUCAAAUUAACGUCAGAUUUGAUUUAUUUUAAGCAGGUUAGGAGAACACACUGCAGGUUCAGGUUAGGAGAACACGCUGCAGGUUAGGAGAACACGCCGCAGGUUAGGAGAACACGCUGCUGGUUCAGGUUAGGAGAACACGCUGCAGGUUAGGAGAACACGCCGCAGGUUAGGAGAACACGCUGCAGGUUAGGAGAACACGCUGCAGGUUAGGAGAACACGCUGCAGGUUCAGGUUAGGAGAACACGCUGCAGGUUAGGAGAACACGCCGCAG